rnacentral:rRNA from 1 species
GACGAACGCUGGCGGCGUGCUUAACACAUGCAAGUCGAAGAUAGUGGCGAACGGGUGAGUAAUACGUGGGUAACCUGCCCUCCUUUUUGGGAUAAACCUUGGAAACGGGGUCUAAUACCGAAUAAAGGGGGAUGGGCUCGCGGCGUAUCAGCUUGUUGGUGGGGUGAUGGCCUACCAAGGCUGUGACGGGUAGCUGGCCUGAGAGGGUGACCGGGCGCAGUUGGACGGCGAUACGGGCAAUACGCCUACGGUAGGAAGCAUGGGGGGGUAUUGAGCAAGGGGCAAAGGGCUGAGGGAGCAACGCCGCGUGGGGUAUGAAGGCUGACGGAUGGUAAUCCUCUGUCGCUAUCGAACGGGUAGGUGUAGAAGAAGCGCCGGCUAACUACGUGCCAGCAGCCGCGGUAAUAC